ACACUCCUACGGGAGGCAGCAGUGGGGAAUUUUGGACAAUGGGCGAAAGCCUGAUCCAGCCAUGCCGCGUGCAGGAUGAAGGCCUUCGGGUUGUAAACUGCUUUUGUACGGAACGAAACGGCCUUUUCUAAUAAAGAGGGCUAAUGACGGUACCGUAAGAAUAAGCACCGGCUAACUACGUGCCAGCAGCCGCGGUAAUACGUAGGGUGCAAGCGUUAAUCGGAAUUACUGGGCGUAAAGCGUGCGCAGGCGGUUAUGUAAGACAGUUGUGAAAUCCCCGGGCUCAACCUGGGAACUGCAUCUGUGACUGCAUAGCUAGAGUACGGUAGAGGGGGAUGGAAUUCCGCGUGUAGCAGUGAAAUGCGUAGAUAUGCGGAGGAACACCGAUGGCGAAGGCAAUCCCCUGGACCUGUACUGACGCUCAUGCACGAAAGCGUGGGGGGCAAACAGGAUUAGAAACCCCUGUAGUCCCAUG
rnacentral:rRNA from 1 species